ACAUUGUUUUACUACAAUUUGAUGAACUCCCGAAACAAACGAAGAUCAAGGAUUUUUCUGACAUCAGACCGAAAAUUGUUGAACGCCGAGUCACCAACAUCUAUGUUUGGAUGUUUUGUGCUUCUUCGCAUAUCAACUGUUGAACAGGUGAUGACGUUUCCUGUAGUUUUGUUCCCGGAGGAGGAUGACUGUGUGGCAGCAGUUCCACGCCAGGAUGGAGCAAGCACAGUACUCCAAGGCACCAGAGAGGUACUCCGCGCCACCAUGUAGAGGAUGGCUACAUAGGGCAAGAAGGCAGAGGUAGGGGGAAGUUUUAGCUCUGCACAUGAAGAACAUUUGGAGAAGAUCAAGUGGCUGGCUGACUGAAGAGAGGGUCGAGCUGAGGGCACAGCUGGCACAACAAUCAGCUUCUGAUAAACGUCUGACUGAAAAGAAUGUCAAGCCGAGGGCACAGCUGCCUCUACAAUCAGGAGCCAUAAGGAAGAAUCUUUCUAACCGGGAAGCCACUGACGAGGCUGUCCAGAACCAAGUCCCCAGGUACCAGAAAGGGGUAGCAGACCAUGCAGGUGGGAGAUGUCGCAGCGGUACAAGGGACCUGCCGUGAAUAUGAAUGAAAUCUCCAGCACAACCAAUAUUGCUGCUAAGCUGCAGUACUGUAUUACUAUAUUUUUUUUUACUGCUGCUAUGUACAGUGUUAUAUAUAUGAUUGCAUUAUCCUCUUAAUAUAUUCAUAGCUCUGUGUGAAUGUUCUUAAUUCUGACUGUAGUUGUAGUGUUAUGCCACCAUUCAUAUUGCACUUAUUGCACUGAUAUAUCUAUGAUAUUCAAUAACUAUUGAUUGCUGCUAGGUCAUACUUAUGUAUUUUACUGCCAUUCUAGCCUUUGUUUAUUUUGUAUUGUAUUAUGUUUAUUUUGUACUUUCACAUUCAAAUACUGUAAUAUUACAAUCUGUUGCUGGACAUGUUUUCUUGCACUAUUUGAUUUUGUAAAAAAAAUUAAUUCAAUUAAUUUGCAC
ensembl:lncRNA